rnacentral:ncRNA from 1 species
UAUCUGGUUGAUCCUGCCAGUAGUCAUAUGCUUGUCUCAAAGAUUAAGCCAUGCAUGUCUAAGUAUAAGCACUUGUACUGUGAAACUGCGAAUGGCUCAUUAAAUCAGUUAUCGUUUAUUUGAUUGUACCUUUACUACUUGGAUAACCGUGGUAAUUCUAGAGCUAAUACAUGCGAAAAGUCCCGACUUCUGGAAGGGAUGUAUUUAUUAGAUUCAAAACCAAUGCGGGUUCUGCCCGGUCAUUUGGUGAUUCAUAGUAACUGUUCGAAUCGCAGGGCCUCGCGCCGGCGAUGUUUCAUUCAAAUUUCUGCCCUAUCAACUGUCGAUGGUAAGGUGUUGGCUUACCAUGGUUACAACGGGUGACGGAGAAUUAGGGUUCGAUUCCGGAGAGGGAGCCUGAGAAACGGCUACCACAUCCAA